AUCCCCCUUCCUCCAUCUCAUUCCCCUCGUCCCUGGCGGCGGCGCACCACUCGUAUCUUCCUCUCUCCACCAAACCCUACCCACCAACGCGAGCUCCUCUCCCGGCACCACUCCUCUCCGCCGCCACCACCACCACCUACGGUGCCCGAUCCCGUCCUUCGGUGGCGCCGAGCUCACCACGGUGACCCCAUCCCUCCGCUCCUUCCUCUCAUCGGGCCAGAUCGGGCGCACGCGUCCUCCAGUGGUCAAGCGCGACCCCCGAUUCAGUCGAGCCCGCCGCCCGCGCCCACGCGCCACCACCCGCUCCUCCUCGCCUCCCGUAGGACGCAGACACCACGCCGCUCUUCCUCCGCCCGCCAACCCACCCCGUCCCUGAUGCCUCACUCGCCGCCUUCCGCCGCAGGGCCGCCGCGCUCGUCCCGCCCUCGGCGCCGCACGUCCACCGCCACCUCCGCUGGCUCCUCGCCGACGCCCCCGCCUCGUGCACGAGCGGCCGGAGCACGCCGUCCACCCCGCGCAUGCGGCGCUCGACGCGCUCGACGUCUUCGGUAAUGGAAGCGCCCGGAUCCCUCGGUUUCCUUCUUUGGUUUUUUCCUCCAUUGAAUGGCGCAAUGGUGGAUCCCCAACUCCCUCCAUCACUCUUGUGCUCUAUCCAAGAACUGCAUCUGGAUUGGAUCCAGUCGUCUCCUCCUUCGUCGCGCGCGCUCAGCUCGCUGGCUACGUUACCAAGGAUUUUAACAGCGGAUCUGGUGCACAGUGUGUGUUCUGUUCACCAACAAGUUAGCUGAGGUGGUUUGCAGCUUGAAGAGAUUAAACACUGGCGAAGCAGGUUGCUGUCGGCCUGUCACUGGCUGGUAUUCAGAGUUCAGACUCUGGAGUGGGCGGCAGUUGAGCUUGAAGCAAAGAUACGGUGCAGGACAUCAAGGACCCGGAGCACCCCUACUCGCUGGAGCAGAUACGGUGUGUGCUCUCCCAGGAGUCUGUCUCCGUCUCCCAGUAGUCCGUCUCCGUCUCCAUAUCCGGAUAACCUUCACCCCGACUGUGCAGCAGUGCAGUAUGUCUACGGUGAUUGGCCUGUGCCUCAGGCUUAAGUUGAUGCAAAACCCGCGAGACUACACCACUGGUCGUCGACCUGCCCCACAACAGGCAGACCCUUGACAUCAUUGUCGUCAUGGCCGGGACGCCAGGCUGGAUACAGACAUGUGGACACAGCCGCGGCCACAGCUCUCCGGCAACCAAGACGGGACAGCGUCGACAGGAUCCUCGGACGACCUGCGUCCUUCCCCGACCACGCCCAUGACCUGCAUCCAGCUGCUCCUGCCCCGGCCCUCCUCAACUUCGCUCCUGGUGAGCUGCUGUAGGUGGGACAAUUGACUCGAUCUGUUGCUACCGGUAGAACUGAUGAUCUAGUUUGGGUGUAGCCGCAACUGCUGUAGGUUGGGUGUGUAGGAGGCUGACCUACUGCUUUUGUUAGUACCAUGGCUCCUGUAGGUUUGUUUUAUCUGCAAUACAUACUAUCUUGGUUUAGUUUUGGGGCAAAUAGAGAUGUUUCUAUUGGACUGUGUUAUGUGAUUGAUAGGUCACUGUCCCAUUACAUACUAUCAUGUAAACUUCCUGUUUUCCUGAAAUGCUAUUAUUGAUAAGUCACUGUCCCAAGACAUACUACUCUAUUUGAGCAGGAAUAGGUGGUGCCAGCGGUGCUGGAUGCGGCAUGAGUGGUUUAGUCUUUAUGGCCAGAUAGAGUAAAGCAUUAAAGGGACAACCCCUUUCUUGCCUACUCUUGCACUGCUGCUGCUGAUGCUACUCGUUAUGGAAUUCAUUAUGGAAUUUGGUGCAGUGUACCAUCAGUCACAGCUACUGAGUUAGCCAGUUAGGUGCCCAGUUUAUGCUCGCUACCGAAGGAGCUCCAUGUUGAAGAAGAUUGAAGAGCACCAGGGUUAACACCAGGGCAGCUUGUAGAGCUUGUAGAGCUUGUAUAUGUAUAGAGCUUGUAAAUGUAUCACGUGUAGAGCUUGUAUAUGUUAGAGCUUAUUAUGUGUAGAGCUUGUAAGUAUAUGUUAUUUGUACAAUAGGAGCUCUGUACUGAAUCAGGCUGAUAAUAUUUGGAGUAUUAUGUGUGUG